UGGGAUUUCGGAAUUUUGAAAAAGCGAAUAAUGAAAAUAUGGAGACUUCAACAUGAAAAUUAUUGACGGAGACUUCAAGAGACAAAGCAAUUAAAAAUUGUCUCUUUAAUGUCCAUUCAACAUAAGAAAAAAGAAAAAGAAAAUGAAUAAUAGAGAUUGGAGACAUACAACUAUCACACAUAUUUCUUGUAGAAAAAAAACAUCACCAAGAUUUGAGCUUACACCGCUUGUUAAGAGAGGUCCCUAUCUUAUUUGUUGCUCAUAUUGUUUUUGUUUCGAUAGGCUGGAGGUACUAAUAGUUGUUCUAUAUUUUUGGGCCCUUUUAAUUUGAAGGCCUUGUGUGAUUGCCCACACUUCAUAGGCCAAGAACGGCCUCUGGUGUGGGACAUUACGCUAUUUGUUUGAUUGUACUACUUUAAUUUACUAUCAGAAUAUGUGAGUCUUCCCGCAGGUAUUUGCAUGUUUAGUCGAUCAUAGGUCCCAAGAGCUCAAGCAAAAAUAUUGCUGAUUAAAAUCGGACCUCAUUCUAUAGUAUCAAAAGUGCUCUGCAUGUCUAACUUGAUCUAAUGUUUUGUAGAAAAGUUUUUCCUUCCAUAAAAUUUGACUAAUUCUUGACAUAUCAUAAUAUUAUGCAUGAUGUAUGUUUGUGGGUAGAGAAAAUAUGUUUGGGGGUCGAAAUUUGGGAUAGUAAAGUGGAGAGAAGAUGUUUGAUAUUGGUUUCUUAUGAGCUAUGAAGAGCGUAAGUGGAGGAUUUGAAGCAAUCGGAAAGAUUGUAGUUUAUUGUUACUUCAAGAGAAGCUGAAGUAUCCUGCAAGAAUAGUAGCAUAAUCAAGAAAGGCAACAUGAUGAACUGCAGAAAGCCGUCCUCCAAGUUUUCUCGUCACCAUGGCAAGAAAAAAUGGCGAACAGCUGAAGGUAGUGAUUCAGGAAAACAAGAGAAGAUAAUGUGAGGUCCUUGUUCGGACUCUCAGGCAUGCGUACUCGAUCUAUGGAUGAAAUCAUGGGGAUUGAAUCGUUGGAUUUUGGGUUAGGAAUUCGAGACCCUCUUACUCUUACUUCAUCAAUCCAAGAGUUACAGAAGCAAUUUGAAAUUCGGCACACGUUUAAUGAAUGGCUUCAAUCCAUUCAUGACAGUGCAAUUAAUCGAUCAAUUGUUACACCGGACAAUGGAACAAUAACAUCUCGAGAUUUUCGCAACAGUCGUCAAGCCACACUCGGUGAACUUACUUCAGAGAUUGCUACCUGAUUCACUGCCGGGACACUCAACAUCGAGUAAGUUUAAAGCAUGUUUUCUUCAAUAUUUUGACCUUUAAAAAACGGAACCAAUUAUCUAGUUACUUCUUUUUUCUUUUUUUUAUACCUUCUGUUUCCUCUUUAUGUGACAACUCCAUUGGUUGAUGGUAAUGGUUACCAUUCCCUUUUCAUUUCAAGGCUUGAAUCAGACAUCCAAUAAAGGUAAUAAGUUUUGUUACCAUUCCCUUCCUCUAUUUGGUUCCAUUCCAUGACUUGAACCAAACAUGCUCUCGAUGUCUCUUAACUCUAGUUGAGUUGUGAGCGAGGGGGAAUAUGAUUUAAGUUAUGAUGUGUGGUCUCUUGAUACUAGAUCGUUCCAUCAUAUGCUGGGUCAGGGGCGGGGCUACCAUUAUCGAGACUUUAUUUAAAUUCUCACAUUUGGGCCCUUCACAAGUACUUAAAAUAAGUACAUAAUUUUAUCAACAAAAAAGUUCAAUAAACUAUAAUAUUAAGGAUUAAAUCAUUAAAAUUGAGUAGUAAAAGAACCGUCUUUUCAACUUCUAUUGUGAGUAUACUGGUUCAAAUUCAAAUAAAUAACUCAAUUAUAUAGUUGAAUUGUUAAUAAUGGCUAUUAAUAUGACUUUUUAUUGGGAAAUGAUGACAUUAAUGAGAAUUUAUAUUUAUAAUUUCGGAUGGAAGUAAACAUUUUGGGAUUUUGGAAUUUGGAAAAAGCGAAGAAUGAAAAUAUGGAGACUUCAAAAUGAAAAUUGACGGAGACUUCAAGAGACAAAAAGCAAUUAAAGAUUGUCUCUUUAAUGUCCAUUCAACAUAAGAAAAAAGAAAAAGAAAAUGAAUAAGAGAGAUUGGAGACAUACAACUGUCAGAUAUAUUUCUUGUAGAAAAAAACAUCACCAAGAUUUGAGCUUACACCGCUUGUCAAGAGAGGUUCCUAUCUUAUUUGCUGCUCAUAUUGUUUUUGUUUCGAUAUGCUGCAAGUACUAGUACUUGUUCUAUAUUUUUGGGCCCUUUUAAUUUGAAGGCUUGUGUGAUUCCCCACACUUCAUAGGCCAAGAACGACUUCUGUGGUGGGACAUUACGCCAUUUGUUUGAUUGUACUGCUUUAAUUUACUAUCAGAAUAUGUGAGUCUUCCCGCGGGUAUUUGCAUGUUUAGUCGAUCAUAAGUCCCAAGAGCUCAAGCAAAAAUAUUGAUCAUUAAAGUCGGACCUCAUCUAUAUAUAUAUCUAAAGAAGAAUCCUUCAGACCACGUGUCGCAAAGUUAGAGAUUUCAAUCCCACGUGGCAUGACGUGGCAUGCUCCGUUGAUCAGUAUUUUUUUGAAGCUCAAUUAGAGUGUCCAAGUGUCAAGGCAAUCAAAGAAUAUGAAAUUCCCUUAAUCACGCAUAUUCCUUCCCUUAAAUCACCCAUAUAUAAUUGAUUCAGUAAUCUAUAUAAAUGACGUCAAUUACAGAUUUUAAUUGAUACGUAAUAUAUAUAAUUAAGGAACAGUAACAUUUCCAUGUCCGAUUUAUUCCUUCCCUGAAUUUAUUCUUUCUAAUUUUAUGUACAUCCGAUUUUGCCUAUCUAAUUCAUAUAUAUGGUAGUGAAAUCAAAAUAUCAAUCAAGGAUGAUUUCCAUGUCCAUGAUUUCCGCUAAUUAUACACAUUUCCACUGAAUAUGUAUUGAAGCUUAUUGCAUACAUUUUGGCAUGGAAUUGAUAUAAAUAGGGUCAAUUGAAAUCUAUGAAUCAUUUUAGAAACCACCACAAUGCACAAUAGAACUGAAAUAAUGCUCGACCACAGUGGCACGCAGAGAAGCAACAACAACAACAACAAUCCAACUGCAACAGCUAUACAUUGGAAGCAAACGACGACAGUGGAAGAUGAGAGAUAAAAUUCAGAAGCACCAAGUCAGUAACAGCAGCAAUGCAACUGUAGGUAGUCCACGAAGAAGAGGAAAGAGAAAAUCCACGAGCACCACAUCAGGAGCAGCAUAGAUUAAUGAUAGAGUUCAUCUAAACAUUGGAAUUUAGAAGCAAACCACGGUGGAAGAAGAGAGAGGGCAUUCAAAUAAACUAUAUUUUUGUACUUAAUGUAAAAGUUUUAGAUUUGGAAUAAAUGCAUAAUUUACAUUUAUAAACUUUUAUGUACCUUCUAUAAAACUGAUGUUGGAGGGUUCAUAC